rnacentral:rRNA from 1 species
KNUAUACGCUGGCGGCGCCCAUAACACAUUCAAGUCGAACGGGUGCAACACCUCNGGGUGAGGCAUUAGUGGCGGACGGGCGAGUAAUACGUGAGCAACCUGCCUUUAAGGGGGGAAUAACCGCGGGAAACCGCGGACAAUACCGCAUAACACACAGAGUUGGCAUCAAGACUGUGUCAAAGGAGAAAUCCGCUUAGAGAUGGGCUCGCGGCCGAUUAGGCAGUUGGUGAGGUAACGGCUCACCAAACCGACGAUCGGUAACCGGACUGAGAGGUCGAACGGUCGCAUUGGAACUGAGAGACGGUCCAGACUCCUACGGGGGGCAGCAGUGGGGAAUAUUGGGCAAUGGGCGAAAGCCUGACCCAGCGACGCCGCGUGAAGGAAGAAGGUCUUCGGAUUGUAAACUUAUGUCGGGGGGGACGAACGCAAUGACGGUACCCUCCAAGGAAGCCACGGCUAACUACGUGCCAGCAGCCGCGGUAAUACGUAGGUGGCAAGCGUUAUCCGGAAUUACUGGGUGUAAAGGGUGUGUAGGCGGCUGAGCAAGUCAGAGGUGAAAUAUACGGGCUUAACCCGUAUCUGCCUUUGAAACUGUUCAGCUUGAGUGUCGGAGAGGUAAGCGGAAUUCCCAGUGUAGCGGUAAAAUGCGUAGAUAUUGGGAGGAACACCAGUGGCGAAGGCGGCUUGCUGGACGACAACUGACGCUGAGACACGAAAGCGCGGGGAGCAAACAGGAUUAGAUACCCUGGUAGUCCGCGCUGUAAACGAUGAAUGCUAGGUGUAGGAUGGAUACAUUCUGUGCCGCAGUAAACACAAUAAGCAUUCCACCUGGGAACCG